CAUGCAUGUUGACACAGCCAGCAGCGGGCACCCAUGGCACAUGGGGAUGGACCCAGGAGUGGAGGAUGACCCAAUAGGAUGAACGUUCAGCCCACUCACUGUUGACACCAGUGACACAGUAUUGACCAGAUCUCCUGGAAGUGCCCCCUGACGCAGACCCAGUUGUUGGGUAGCCACCCAUGCACGUUGACACAGCCAGCACCGAGCACCCAGGGGGAUGGAACCAGGAAUGGAGGAUGGUCCAAUAGGGUAGCAUCAUGAAGGCAGUUUACCCCUGAAACUUUUUACAAAGGACCAUCAUCGUCAGAGAAGUUCCUUUAACCCUUUAUCUCCCAUAGCGGCCGUGAACGCCCGGCCACCUCUCUCCCAUAAUGCCCGCCGACACCCGGAGUAUUUUCAUAGCUGAACAGAAGUCAUCAUGCAGUUUCUACAGCUUUCACUUUAGAUCACUAUUACAGACUCUCAAUAUAUUUUUAUUAUAAAAACUAUUUUGGGAAAUCCUGAACUACAGUGCAAAGUGGCUGAGCUCAAAAGUACGGGCUCGCUGCUGCUGCCCAGUAGAAAAUAUCUUUUAAAUGCAGUACAGUUCCUAAUUGUGCGUUCAUGUGGUAAUUACGUAAAUACCAAACACUGACAUCCGAAGCACACAUGAACGCCACCGGCCCUUGUAGAAAAUUUUGAUUAAUGAAUGCACUAUAUCUCUUCUCUUGCCUACCUCUCUUCUCCACAAGCUCUCCCCUCAUCUAAUCUCUUCAUUUUGCUAGUCCUCAUCUCUCUUUCUUCAUUGUGUUACUGUUUAAGCUGAUAACUGUUACUUUUAAAAAUUAAAUAGUUAAAGAUA